UUUAAGCAUAUUAAUAAGCGGAGGAAAAGAAACUAACAAGGAUUCCCUCAGUAGCUGCGAGCGAACAGGGAGGAGCCCAGCACCGAAUCCUGCGCGCCGUCGAGCGCGUCUGGAAAUGUGGUGUUUGGGAGGAUCCGAUCAUCUCGCUCGGGCGCGCCAGUCCAAGUCCAUCUUGAAAGCGGCCACAGCCCGUAGAGGGUGCCAGGCCCGUAGGACGGCGGCCGUUUCCCGAGCGAAAGGGUCUCUCCCCAGAGUCGGGUUGCUUGAGAGUGCAGCUCUAAGCGGGUGGUAAACUCCAUCUAAGGCUAAAUACGACCACAAGACCGAUAGCGAACAAGUAC
rnacentral:rRNA from 1 species